GAUGAACGCUGGCGGCGUGCCUAACACAUGCAAGUCGAGCGAUUUACUUCGGUAAAGAGCGGCGGACGGGUGAGUAACGCGUGGGUAACCUGCCCUGUACACACGGAUAACAUACCGAAAGGUAUGCUAAUACGAGAUAAUAUGCUUUUAUCGCAUGGUAGAAGUAUCAAAGCUUUUGCGGUACAGGAUGGACCCGCGUCUGAUUAGCUAGUUGGUAAGGUAACGGCUUACCAAGGCGACGAUCAGUAGCCGACCAGAGAGGGUGAUCGGCCACAUUGGAACUGAGACACGGUCCAAACUCCUACGGGAGGCAGCAGUGGGGAAUAUUGCACAAUGGGCGAAAGCCUGAUGCAGCAACACCGCGUGAGCGAUGAAGGCCUUCGGGUCGUAAAGCUCUGUCCUCAAGGAAGAUAAUGACGGUACUUGAGGAGGAAGCCCCGGCUAACUACGUGCCAGCAGCCGCAGUAA
rnacentral:rRNA from 1 species